GUAUACUAGGAAUUAUUGUAAAUUAUUAAAAUUGCUACAAAGUACCUGAACCAAAUAUGGAAGCAAAAAUGAGUUUGACAGUAAAUAGGGGCGUGAAGACGCAAGAUGUAUUACAAUGUGUAUUGUUAUAGUUGACUCCAAUUGAGGUAAACGUUUGAAAGUGUUGAGAUCGGCCGAGAGCAUGUGGCUCAUUUGAAUCGCCUGAUUACGGGAUGGCACCAAGAAUUGCGGUUGUGUUGCUAGGAUGUACUUAAUGCCAGCAUCAGACAUGUGUUCAGGUGGAUGACUGAAUCCUCAGCACUGCUCUUUCCAU
rnacentral:misc_RNA from 1 species